rnacentral:rRNA from 1 species
UACAGAGGCCUCGAGCGUUAGGCGGAAUCACUGGGCUUAAAGCGUGUGUAGGUGGAUGCCUAAGUACCUUGUGAAAUCCCACGGCUUAACCGUGGAACUGCUGGGUAUACUGGGCGUCUUGAGCCACUCAGGGGCUACCGGAACAAGCGGUGGAGCGGUGAAAUGCGUAGAUAUCGCUUGGAACGGCCAAUGGUGAAAACAGGUAGCUGGGGGGUGUGCUGACACUGAGACACGAAAGCCAGGGGAGCAAACGGG